AUGGCGGCGACCCUCGGCGGCGGCCACACCUCGCCGGCGGCGACACCACCGCUGGAAGACAGAGAUCUCCUCACUGACGUACUCCUCCGCCUCACCCCGCAGCCCUCAUCCCUCCCGCGCGCCUCGCUCGUCUGCGGACGCUGGCGCCGCCUCGUCUCCGACCCGCGAUUCGGCCGCCGAUUCCGCCUCCGCCACCGCCGCAACCCUCCCCUCCUCGGCUUCUUCGACAUGGGCACUCGCGGCCUCUACUUUGUGCCUACGCUGGAGAGUCCCGACCGUGUCCCGCCCGGGCGCUUCUCCUUGCAGUUGGACGACGGGGACGAGGCCGUGCCCCUUGGAUCCCGACACGGCCUCGUGCUCCUCUUCAACGUAUCUCGGAAACAGAUCCUGGUGUGGGAUCCCGUCACCAACGACCAGCACCGCGUCGCCCUUCCCCCGAGGUUCACGGGACAUGUGAACAUGACUGUGAUCCACGGGGCGGUGCUUCGUGCCGCCCGAGACGUCCAGCACUUUCAGGUGGUCUUGCUAGUGGUGGACAAUGACGACGACAUACACCACAUACGAGCGCUGGCCUGCGUCUACUCGUCGGAGACCGGCGUUUGGGGUGACGUCAUCUCGGCACCGCUUCUGCCCAAGGUCGACUUGAGCAGCCUUUACACCAGGGUUUAUCAGCCCAAGGCGGCUGUGCUGGUUGAAAGUUCCCUUUACUGGAUGCUUGUUGGAAAUUUGGUUGGUAUUCUCGAGUUUGAUUUGGUGAAGUGGAGCAUCGCCCUGAUACCGGCGCCGGUCGAUGUGUUUACCGAAGGAAAAUAUGAAUUCACAGUUUUGCGGACAGAGGGUGGUGGCCUUGGUUUCCUCUUCCUGUCAAAGUCAGACUUCAGUGCCCAAUUAUGGAAGAGAAGGACAACUAGUGAUGGUGUUGCUUCAUGGGAGCUGGGAAGAACAAUUGAACUGGACAAGCUAAUUCCCCUUAAUUCGAAGGAGAGAGCCCACACAUUCAUAGUAGGGUUUGCUGAGGACAAUAAUGUGGUAUUCCUGUGGAUGGUGAUGGGCGCCUUCAUGAUCCAUCUUGAGUCACUGCAGCUGAAGAAACUUCCCGAUCUCACCGUGAUUUCCUGCUAUCAUCCAUUUGAAAGUGUCUUUGCUGCAGUUACUGGCAUGCCUUUACACAUAUCAAAAUAG
rnacentral:rRNA from 1 species